rnacentral:rRNA from 1 species
AUGCACGCUGGCGGCGUGCCUAAUACAUGCAAGUCGAGCGAACAGACGAGGAGCUUGCUCCUCUGACGUUAGCGGCGGACGGGUGAGUAACACGUGGAUAACCUACCUAUAAGACUGGGAUAACUUCGGGAAACCGGAGCUAAUACCGGAUAAUAUAUUGAACCGCAUGGUUCAAUAGUGAAAGACGGUUUUGCUGUCACUUAUAGAUGGAUCCGCGCCGCAUUAGCUAGUUGGUAAGGUAACGGCUUACCAAGGCAACGAUGCGUAGCCGACCUGAGAGGGUGAUCGGCCACACUGGAACUGAGACACGGUCCAGACUCCUACGGGAGGCAGCAGUAGGGAAUCUUCCGCAAUGGGCGAAAGCCUGACGGAGCAACGCCGCGUGAGUGAUGAAGGUCUUCGGAUCGUAAAACUCUGUUAUUAGGGAAGAACAAAUGUGUAAGUAACUAUGCACGUCCUGACGGUACCUAAUCAGAAAGCCACGGCUAACUACGUG